UGCGGGCCAGGUCCGGCAGGGUGUGGAUCUCCGGACCGCCCAUGUCCGGGACCCGGCCCGACGGGGUCGGGACGGCCAGUUCCGCCAGGCGGUCCGCGACC
rnacentral:tRNA from 1 species